rnacentral:lncRNA from 1 species
UCUUACAGUUCUCAAGGGUAGAAGUCCAAAAUGCAUCUCGCUGGGCUAAAAUCAAUGUGUUUGCAAGACUGUGAUCCCUAUGGAGGCUCCAGGGAAGUAGCUUCCUUGCUUUUUCCAGCUCAUAUUGGCUUCUCAAUAUUUAUUGCUUGGUAAUGCUGUUACUCCAACCUCUGCUUUGAUCAUCAUAACUUCUGUGCCUCUGCUUCUCAUGCUUCCUUCUUUUACUUACAGAGACUCUUGUGAUUACACUGGGCUCUCCUGGAUAAAGCAGGCUUAUCUCCCCAUCUCAAGACCUUUAAUUUAAUCACACCUGCAAAGUUCUUUUUGCCAUGUAAGGUUGUGGAGAUUAGAACAUGAACAUCUUCAGGAUGUGGGCCAUUAUUCAGCCUACCCCAAGGACUAUGGACAGCUUGAUCUUUCAGUGACUGGAGCAGAUCCCUUGCUAUCACUCCCAUGUUCAAGUUCAUGUAGCAAGUCAUCCUCCCAGCCCAGGGCUUCUUCGCUUUACAGAGGAGGAAACAGA